rnacentral:rRNA from 1 species
AGCGGUGCUUGCACCGUGGAUUAGUGGCGAACGGGUGAGUAACACGUGAGUAACCUGCCCUUGACUCUGGGAUAAGCCUGGGAAACUGGGUCUAAUACCGGAUAUGACCGCUCCACGCAUGUGGUGGUGGUGGAAAGCUUUUGUGGUUUUGGAUGGACUCGCGGCCUAUCAGCUUGUUGGUGGGGUAAUGGCCUACCAAGGCGACGACGGGUAGCCGGCCUGAGAGGGUGACCGGCCACACUGGGACUGAGACACGGCCCAGACUCCUACGGGAGGCAGCAGUGGGGAAUAUUGCACAAUGGGCGCAAGCCUGAUGCAGCGACGCCGCGUGAGGGAUGACGGCCUUCGGGUUGUAAACCUCUUUCAGUAGGGAAGAAGCUAACGU